CCUACGGGGGGCUGCAGUGAGGAAUAUUGGUCAAUGGCCGGAAGGCUGAACCAGCCAAGCCGCGUGAGGGAGGAAGGCGCAGAGCGUCGCAGACCUCUUUUGCCGGGGGACAAAAGGCCGGACUCGUCCGUUCCUGAGGGUACCCGGAGAAAAAGCAUCGGCUAACUCCGUGCCAGCAGCCGCGGUAAUACGGAGGAUGCGAGCGUUAUCCGGAUUCAUUGGGUUUCAAGGGUGCGCAGGCGGGCUUUUAAGCCGGCGGUAAAAUCGCGGGGCUCAACCCCGCCGAGCCGGGGAAACUGGGGGCCUUGAGUGCGGCGGGGGCAUGCGGAAUGCGGGGUGUAGCGGUGAAAUGCAUAGAUAUCGCGCAGAACCCCGAUUGCGAAGGCAGCGUGCCGUGCCGCCAUUGACGCUGAGGCACGAAAGCGCGGGGAUCGAACAGGAUUAGAUACCCGAGUAGUC
rnacentral:rRNA from 1 species